ACGGACUUGUCCGGCCUGGGUGGGAUCGCGGGCCGUUCGCGGUCCGCGCGCACCACCGGCCCGUCUCGCUCGCAACGUCGGGGAGGCGGCGCAAGAGCGUACACGUUGGGACCCGAAAGAUGGUGAACUAUGCCUGAGUAGGACGAAGCCAGAGGAAACUCUGGUGGAGGUCCGCAGCGAUUCUGACGUGCAAAUCGAUCGUCAAACUUGGGUAUAGGGGCGAAAGACCAAUCGAAA
rnacentral:rRNA from 1 species